GCGGGCGCAAAUCGCAGCCGUGGCGGCCGCGUUUGGAUGAGGGCGAAAUGCGAAAACACCCGUGUACCGUGCAUUGGGUGCACGUUGAAGAAACUCAGGUGGUCGAAGUUAAU
rnacentral:lncRNA from 1 species